ACGUUUCACCCUCGGGUGACAGGGAGACAGGUGGUGCAUGGUUGUCGUCAGCUCGUGUCGUGAGAUGUUGGGUUAAGUCUCGCAACGAGCGCAACCCUACGUUUAGUUGCUAACAGGUGAAGCUGAGCACUCUAGACGAACUGCCGUUGACAAAACGGAGGAAGGUGGGGAUGACGUCAAAUCAUCAUGCCCCUUAUGUUCUGGGCUACACACGUGCUACAAUGGCCGGUACAGACGGAGGCGAAGCCGCGAGGCGGAGCAAAUCCGAAAAAGCCGGUCUCAGUUCGGAUUGCAGGCUGCAAUUCGCCUGCAUGAAGUCGGAAUCGCUAGUAAUCGCAGGUCAGCAUACUGCGGUGAAUACGUUCCCGGGCCUU
rnacentral:rRNA from 1 species